rfam:Euryarchaeota archaeon 55_53 PW_scaffold_68, whole genome shotgun sequence.
GGAGUCUGGCAGCUGUACCAGCUGGUGGAUGGCUCGGCUCAAGCGCCGAUGAAGGACGUGCCAAGCUGCGAUAAGCCCCGGGGAGAUGCAAGGAAUCGUUGAUCCGGGGAUUUCCUAAUGGGACAUCCUGAUGCUACGGCAUCACUCCCUUCGGGGAGGGGGAACGCCCCGAAUUGAAACAUCUUAGUAGGGGCAGGAAGAGAAACCAAUAGGGAUGCCGUGAGUAACGGCGAGUGAAAGCGGCACAGCCCAAACCGAAUCCGCAUCCGAUGAGGAUGUGGAGAUGUGGUGUUGUAAGCCGGGCUCAACACCCCACCCAACGAAGCCGAAGUCCCCUGGAACGGGGCGCCAAAGAGUGUGAUAGCCACGUAGGCGUAAGUUGGAGGGUGGAGCCCGUGUCUUGAGUACCGUGUGUUGGAAUUCACACGGGAAUCUGGGAGACAUCAACUUCCAAGGCUAAAUACGUCUUGAGACCGAUAGCGCAGUAGUAGGGUGACCGAAAGCUGAAAAGUACCCCAAGAAGGGCGGUGAAAAGUGCCUGAAACCAGCUGGUGAUAGUGGGAUGUGGCGUGGAAGGAUCAGCAGUGCGAAGGAACCCGUCGCGAGGCGGCAGUACGAGCACUGUGUUGCAGCGUCACAUCAUACGUUUUGAAGAACGGGCCAGGGAGUUUGCCUGAGUGGCGAGGUUAACCACGGAAGUGGGGAGCCGAAGCGAAAGCGACAGGUGCGUAGCGGGUUUCCCGCAUGGCACGGGGUACUAAAAGUGCCCGAAGUCACUUGGGCAAGACCCGAAACCGGGCGAUCUAGGCGUGGGCAGGCUGAAGCGCGAGGAAACUCGCGUGGAGGGCCGAAAGGGUGCUGAUGUGCAAAUCGCUCCUCUGACCCGCGUCUAGGAGUGAAAGAUUAAUCGAGCCCGGUGAUAGCUGGUUCCUCCCGAAACAUGUCGCAGCAUGACCUGGACGGAGGCAGUCGGCGGUGUAGAGCACGGAUUGGGGAAGUCGGGGGGGAAACCCCUCGCUCCCCUGUCAAACUCCAAAGCCGCCGUCGUCGUAGAAGUCCGGAGUCCGGGCUGGGGGGUAAGCUUCCAGUCCGUAAGGGGAUAAACCCAGCCCAUGGUUAAGGUCCCUCAGUGUCGACUAAGUGUUAACGAUAAAAGGUGUCCCAAGCCCAAGACAGCUGGAAGGUUGGCUUAGAAGCAGCCAUCCUUUAAAGAGUGCGUAACAGCUCACCAGUCGAGGUUUGGGGCCCUGAAAAUUGACGGGGCUAAAGUCGACCACCGAUACCAUGGGACGCCGCGAGGCGAUUCAGUAGGGAGGCGUUCUGCAUGGGCAGAAGCAGGGCCAUGAGGUCCUGUGGACCGUGCAGAAACGAGAAUCCUGGCAUUAGUAGCAGCAUAGUUGGGUGAGAAUCCCAACCGCCGAAAGGGCCAGGUUUCCUCGGCAAUGUUCGUCAGCCGAGGGUUAGUCGGUCCUAAGGUGCACCGUAACUCGAGUGCGCCGAAAGGGAAGCAGGUUAAUAUUCCUGCACCACUUGACGAUAAGUCCUGACGCCUCAGGGUAGGCCGAGCAGGUGUUGCCAGCCUGUUCAAGCGCCGAAGCCCCCGGAGAGCCGUAAUGGCGAGAAGGGGGUGAAUGCGUGAUGACGCAAGUCGGCUGACCCCAGGGGCCCGUGAAAAGGGCAGUCAAGUGGCCGUACCGAGAACUGACACAGGUGUCUCAGGCUGAGAAGGCCCAGGCGUGUCGGAGUACUUUGGCUAAGGGAAUUCGGCAAAUUGGCCCCGUAACUUCGGGAGAAGGGGUGCCUGCUCUGAAGAGAGCAGGUCGCAGUGACCAGGGGGCUCUAACUGUCUAAUAACAACAUAGCAGACUGCAACUCCGUAAGGACUAGUACAGUCUGUGAAUCCUGCCCAGUGCAGGUACCUGAAAGCCCGGUCCAACGGGACGAAGGGCCUGUAAACGGCGGGGGUAACUAUAACCCUCUUAAGGUAGCGUAGUACCUUGCCGCUUAAUUGGCGGCUUGCAUGAAUGGACCAAUGAGAGCCCCACUGUCCCUAGCCAGAAUCCGGCGAACUUCACAUUUCAGUGCAGAGUCUGGAGACCCCCAGGGGGAAGUGAAGACCCCGUGGAGCUUUACUGCAGCCUGCUGCUGGGUUACGGUCUUGGAUGUACAGAAUAGGUAGGAGGCGUAGAAGCACCCUCGUCAGGGGGUGUGGAGCCGCCCGUGGGAUACUACCCUUCCGAGGCUGUGACCCUAACUCGUAUAGAGGACAACGGUAGGUGGGCAGUUUGCCUGGGGCGGGACGCCCUCGAAAAGAUAUCAAGGGCGCCCAAAGGUCGGCUCAUCAGGGACGGAAACCCUGAGAAGAGUGCAAGGGCAUAAGCCGGCCUGACGUGAUUUCGCACAGCAAGAAAUCACGAGCCGAAAGGCGGGCCUAGCGAACCAAUGUGCCCUCUUGAUGAGGGCCAUUGAUGACAGAAAAGCUACCCCGGGGAUAACAGAGUCGUCACCGGCAAGAGCACAUAUCGACCCGGUGGCUUGCUACCUCGAUGUCGGUUCUCUCCAUCCUGGCUGUGCAGCAGCAGCCAAGGGUGAGGUUGUUCGCCUAUUAAAGGGGAUCGUGAGCUGGGUUUAGACCGUCGUGAGACAGGUCGGUUACUAUCUACUGGGGGUGUUGGGAGUCUGAGGGUAAGUUGCCUUUAGUACGAGAGGAACAAGGCAACGGUGCCACUGGUCGAUCGGUUGUCCGGCAGGGCAAUGCCGAGCAGCUACGCACCAGCGGAUAAGGGCUGAAAGCAUCUAAGCCCGAAACCGCACCCAAAAAGAGACUCCCGUAAGGACGCUCGUAAAAGACGAGUUUGAUAGGGCCGGGGUGUAAGCACCAAGGCAACGAGGUGUUCAGCCCGCGGCUACUAAAGUCCGUGCCAGCCUGC